GAUGAACGCUAGCGGCAGGCUUAAUACAUGCAAGUCGUGGGGCAGCGCAGUGUAGCAAUACAUGGGCGGCGACCGGCAAACGGGUGCGUAACACGUACGCAACCUUCCCGUUACUGGGGAAUAGCCCAGGGAAACUUGGAUUAAUACCCCAUAUUAUAUUGAUUGGGCAUCGAAUUAAUAUCAAAGCUUCGGCGGUAACGGAUGGGCGUGCGGUUGAUUAGGUAGUUGGCGGGGUAACGGCCCACCAAGCCUACGAUCAAUAGCUGAUGUGAGAGCAUGAUCAGCCACACGGGCACUGAGACACGGGCCCGACUCCUACGGGAGGCAGCAGUAAGGAAUAUUGGGCAAUGGACGAAAGUCUGACCCAGCCAUGCCGCGUGGAGGAUGAAGGUCCUCUGGAUUGUAAACUUCUUUUUUCUGGGGCGAAAACCGGUUUUUCUAAACCAUUUGACAGUACCAGAAGAAUAAGCACCGGCUAACUCCGUGCCAGCCGCCGCUGUAAAAC
rnacentral:rRNA from 1 species